GUAAAAUGAGCUCCUGCAGCCGCUCUCGGAACUGGAUGUGAAAGACUCCCAGCUGCUCUGCAAGCCACUUCCCAUGUAUGGUCUUCCCAGAACCUCUCACUCCUAGCAUGAAGACCCGCAGCGCAGAUGUAAUUGGUGUUCAAAAGUACAAAACAAGCAUAUUCGUCCAGACACGGUUGUAGCAUACCCCUCUCCUUCAGCACCACUGGACAAAAAUGCUUGGAAUCUCCCAGGUGCCUCUUAAAGCUGGUAUCCUCCUGAGACCAUCAUAAACAAGAGUGGUAUGA